ACUGUCACCCUAAUUGUUAACAUGGUAUUAUAUGUGAUAACUUGCUGUAAAUAAUAGUAAAUUGAGUAUUUAUUCACAGUAAGCACUUCCUAUGUUAGUUGUGGUGAUAUAUAAAUCCUAAUAUCAUUGAUACACAGUUGAGAAUUAUGGUGCAGUUCUUCAAAUGCAGAUUUAAUCCUUAUUAAUAUUAAACCCAGUUCCGCAUGCAGCUGUGGUCAUCCUGUUGAGGAUA
rnacentral:lncRNA from 1 species